rnacentral:rRNA from 1 species
AUACGGAAGGUCCGGGCGUUAUCCGGAUUUAUUGGGUUUAAAGGGAGCGCAGGCGGAGAUGCAAGCGUGACGUCAAAUUUCGGGGCUCAACCCCGUCUCGCGUCGCGAACUGCGUCCCUUGGUUGCGGGAAGGGGAGGCGGAACUCGUGGUGUAGCGGGGAAAUGCAUAGAUAUCACGAAGAACUCCGAUCGCGAAGGCAGCCUUCCGGCCCGUCAACGACGCCCAUGCUCGAAGGUGCGGGUAUCAAACAGGAUUAGAUACCCUGGUAGUCCGCACAGUAAACGAUGGACACCCGCGGUUUGGCCUAUAUGGCUGAGCCGCCAAGCGAAAGCGUUAAGUGUCCCACCUGGGGAGUACGCCGGCAACGGUGAAACUCAAAUGAAUUGACGGGG